UACGGAGGGUGCAAGCGUUAUCCGGAUUCACUGGGUUUAAAGGGUGCGUAGGUGGGCAAGUAAGUCAGUGGUGAAAUCUCCGGGCUUAACUCGGAACGGUCAAGUGAUACUGUCGUGCUAGAGUGCGGAAGGGGCAACUGGAAUUCUUGGUGUAGCGGUGAAAUGCGUAGAUAUCAAGAGGAACACCUGCGGCGAAGGCGGGUUGCUGGGCCGACACUGACGCUGAGGCGCGAAAGCUAGGGGAGCGAACGGG
rnacentral:rRNA from 1 species